AUAAACCGCCAGUUCUGAAACCUUUGUGUUGAGCCUCUCUCUCUCUCUCUCUCUCUAGGGUUUAUUACUCUCCCUCCACAGCGCAACAAUGGAACUUUCGAAGAAACGCAGAGCCGACGAGAACGGCGCCACAUUAUUCACCCCCUUCGAGACCGACACCGCUCCUCCUCCCCUCCCAAACCCCAACCUCACCCUCGACGACGCCCGCAAGAUCAUCUUGCCCUUCACGCAGCCCCAGCUCCUCGACAUCCUCGAGCCCGCCCUCCUCCGCCACCCCGACGUCCUCGCCGCCGUCCGCUCCAUCGCCGACGCCGACCCGGCCAGGCGCAAGCUCUUCGUCCGCGGUCUCGGCUGGGAGACCACCACCGAGAAGCUCCGCAACCUCUUCUCCACCUAUGGCGACGUCGAGGAGGCCGUGGUCAUCACCGAUAAGGCCACUGGGAAGUCGAAAGGCUACGGCUUUGUUACCUUCAGGCACGUUGAUGGUGCAUUAGUGGCCUUGAAGGAGCCCAGCAAGAAAAUCGACGGCCGGAUGACUGUGACGCAGCUUGCGGCCGCCGGAAUUUCAGGUGCUAAUGCAGGGGUUGGUGGUGUUGAUGUUUCUUUGAGGAAGAUUUUUGUUGGUAAUGUGCCGUUUGAGAUUUCGUCGGAGAGGUUGUUGGGGCACUUCUCUGCAUACGGAGAGGUAGAGGAAGGGCCUUUAGGGUUCGAUAAGCAGAUGGGUAAGGAGAGGGGGUUUGCGUUCUUUGUUUACAAGACGGAGGAGGGGGCUAGGGCUUCGCUUGUGGAUCCGGCUAAGAACAUUGAUGGGCACCAAGUGAUGUGUAAAUUGGCUGAAGAUGGGAAGAGGAGGAAGCCCAGUGGUGAUGUUGGGGCUGGUGUGCCGCCAGUUGGGUCGGUGGGGCCGGGUUCACUGAAUUCUGGUUAUGGUGUGCCUGGUGGUGGCCCUGGUGGAUAUGGAGGCUUCUCUGGUGGACUGCCCCAUCAAAAUGCAAAUGUCAAUCCGGGAUUUGGGAAUCAGGGACAGUCUUCGUUUGUUGGUGCUGGUGGCGGGUAUGGACCUGGUUUGGGCGGAGGUGGUGGUUAUGGUGGUUCACAAUAUGGUGUGUCUGGUUCAGGUGAAUAUGGUGGAUAUAGGUUGCCCCCAAGCUCUAUUGGGAUGCCUUCUGGGGGAUACGCAGAGAGCGGUAACUAUGGGUUGUCAACAUCUUCUUUUCCAACGCAGUUGCCCCAACCAUCGUCGGGUCCUAGAUUUCCUCCUGGUGGAAUGUACCAGGGCGGCAUGCAACCCUACUAUUGAGGUUUGAUGAUAUAGCCUUCUUGCGACUAGCUUUUGUCCAAAAGGGCAGUGUGCAGUGGAGUGGACUGAACAUUUUCUGCUCAUCUCCAAUUGUCUGAAUUGUUUAAAGAAUGAAACUUGCAGCUACUACUUUUUUGUUUGGUGCUGUGAACAUUUUCGGCCUUUUGUUUUGUGUAUGAUUUUUCUGUUUGUUUUUCCGGGCUUGUGAAUCAUAACAAUAAUAUUCUAGUACUCAAGUCAUUAAAGAAUGAAUAGAAGAUGUUUGGAGCUUGCAGUGCUGCUCUGUUUUGUUUAUGAUUUUUCUGUUUGUUUUUCCGGGCUUGUGAAUCUUAGCCAUAAUUUUCUAGUGCUCAGUCAUUAAAGAAUGAAUAGAAGAUGUUUGGAGGUUGCAGUGCUGCUCAGUAUGUCCAUACCACCACUCCGUCUGUAUAUUGUCACCACCUAGCAUAUGUUUGUAACCCUAUAGUCUUCUCCUUCAUUAAUCAUGUAAGCAUAUUCAUGGUGGAUGCUCAGGGAUGUUUGUUGCAGAGUAAGCCUUCAAAGGUGUACGACCUUGUGAUGGUUUUCGCAUUUGUUUGUUUUGUUUGUGUUUUUGUUGUGUGCAUGUCUAUGUUACCAGAAAAUGCAAAUAUCCUAGCGGUUUACAUAUGAAACACAUGUCCCGAAUCAUGGUACAAUUUCAUCUUGGAACGAUGAAUUUGGCAACCAAAUCUACCCAAAACGUUUUACUGUUUAUUUCUAAAGAAUGUGGCUUUAGCAAGACAAAUUGUGAAAAAAUGGUCAAUAUACUCCUUUAAAUUUGUUUGGAAUGAAUAAUUUGAUGGAUUUGUAUUUUAAUAUUAUAAUACAUAUAAGCCAAUCCCUAUCGUAGCACUCUUUAGGGAAUGUGGCAUACCGCGUUCCCGUUUCUUGUACAUGAAUACUCUGCAUUCAACCUUGGUGCAACUCUUUCUUUUUGGUGGGGGAGAGGGGAGGAGAUGCAAGCAAAGUUUUUAGAGGUGAAAGCGCAAGGCAAGGUAGUUGUCCUCUCAUGAGGUGAGGCAUAAGCCUGAGUUUUUGUUUUUUACAUAAUAACAAAUAAAACUAACUAAAAAUACCAGAACAGCAGGGAAUAGUGUUUGUGCCUCUGAAAAUAAGAAAAUGGUAAACCGAAUUUUAAAAAGCAUGUUAAGGCAUAAAAACAUGGUGCAUUAAUAGAUCCAACCUUCAAAAGCACUCUAAGGUGUCUUUCUAGUAUGCCGAAGCCCUUCCUCCACGUCCAACAACUUGUAAUGAACUGACUCUUCACUUACCCAAGAAAAAGAACCGGCUUUCUUCUGAUGCAUUUGCCUUUGUCAUCUGGGCGAAAAAGGCAUGAAAAGUGUAUGAUUCCAUAUGCCUUUGGUAGAUGGGUGAACACCCUUGUGGUAUGCUAAAAAAUCAAUGCCCCGGAGGACUUUUGCUGCGCCUCACGGCCCUCACCUCAAAGCAAGCCCCAAAAUCGCCUUUGAAAACAUUGCUGCAAUGCUCUGGUUUAGUUCGGAAUAGAACUUAUGGAAAGGACAACACCUGAGUUUCCUCGACGUUUCGUUUACCCUGUGUAUGAUUGGAGGACCUCUCCUUUGGGUCCUUUAACCUGAAAGGUGCACUUAGAUUGAGGUGGCGGUUUGGACGGGAGGCCUUUAACACGUAUGCGAAUAAAGGUAGAUUCAACUCUGCUGUCAGCUCAUACUCUUCAGGCCACGCUAUUUGUGGUAGAGAUUGAUUAAGCACACCAUAGGGUUUUUUUGACCCUUAACAGCACAGAUGAGUUGCGCAUUUGUCAGCUGCGUCUGCUGGUGUUUUGUUGGAAACUUCAGUUUGGGUGGAAUCAUUUCUGCAACUAUAAUCGAACUUCACGAUCUUUUGUAAUGAGGAUUGUAAAUUAUCGUAGUAGCUGUAGAGAUGUGUAAGACGUCAAUUUAUUGUUGUUAAUUAUAGUGGCAUCAUACAAUCCGUUUUGCUGAAUUAAUCUGAAAAUGUACGAGUACCGUAGCAUAAUUGACUGAAUUAAUUCCUUUUGGUGCCACUAAACAAAAUGUACAAGUACCGAUAGCCAUGUGAACAAGUUAAUUUUGGCAUGUAAAAUACACGCUCUACGUCACAUUCCCCCUCU